UCCACACAGCCCGCCCUUUAACCAAACCCCACUCCCAAGGAGGACAAGCCAAGCCAAAGACAGCCUGGAUUGUUUAGAUUUUGAUAUCCCAUUUUGUGACAGAUACGGGAAGGGAGGGACCUUCCCAAGACAAUAUCACCUCUCCCAGAGUCGCAAGGACUAUAGUGACGGCCGUAGGACCUUCCCGAGAAGUUACGUCCCCCCGGAGAAUCUUUUCCAGCUCGUGCCGUCCAGCCGGACCAAGAGCUUCAACGGAGAUAACAAGCUCAUCACGUUGCGGUAUGAAGAUCGCGGGGGCACGAAGUGGUGGCGUAGCUGCGACAAGAUAUUCCAAGGCUUCGCCUCGUCUCCUGCCAAGACGAGAAACAGUAAGUGGUCUCCCGGCGGGUUGCUGCAGAAGGGGUUGAGGAGAUCGGAACAGAUCUGAGCUGAU